GUCGAGUAGUAAUUUUGUCGUCCUGCCUUCCAAAUACCAUACAAUUAACUUGGUUUACUGUCAUAGAAUAUUGUAAAAUUAUAAUACAAAGUAACAUAAAAUUACAGAGAGAAGCAUUUGUGAAAAACUCAAGAAUAGCUGAAAUGAUAAACUGAAGUUAACGUCUGAAAGCUCAUUAAUAGGUUCCCACAACAGAUGUCUACUGGUUUACUUUCCAAGCAAGCGCCGAAUCCUCCGGUUGGCCCCUUGAACUCUGGUGCCAAGCUCAUCAACAUCCUGUUCAGUAUGAUCCAAUGCAUCUUUAUGCCUCUCAAUUUCAGAUCCCAUGUCAACAGCCAUAUUCUUGAGCUCCCCCAACAGAUCGCUGAGUUCUGACAGUCCAUCAUCUUGCUUGGCUUUCUCAGCCUCAACUUUCUGCAUUGCAUUUGUAGGCUCUGGGUGUGGUGUCCUUGAACUUGACCUUGCCUUGGGUGCAGAGUUCAAUCCUAAUUUCUCCCUCUGCUCCAAGUGGUUGCCCCUUCUUUGAACUGGAUCAUCUGACAUUCUUGUGAUAACGGGCCCUGUAAUCGGGCGACUCGUCUUUGGCUUCCAAGUCUUCGAAAAUAUGCCUCCAAGACUCCCCAAGAGUUUUUCACCCCUGCUAAGAUCAUGAUCGAUAUCUGCUGCAGUCAUAUGGGUUCUUGUAAUUUGUUCUCCCUGUUGAUGUAAAGUUAUCAAAGUUUUUGUUGCAUCCUCUCGCAUGUCUUGUGCAAUCUUCAGGCAGCUAUUAACAGAUUUUGUAGUCUCUUCUGACCUGUAGACGGCAUAGUUUUCCAACUCCUCUACAGUUUGGUUCUCAAAUCCACCAGACUCCCGGAAAUCAUUCUUGUAUUUAUUUCUUGCCGUCGAAGUUGAGUAAGCAUGUGAAGGAGUCUCUUUAAUUUCAUCAUCAUCAAAAGGGUUUGUACUCAAAUUUGGGGCAGCUGCAGAAGGCUCCGAUGAUAUUUUCCUGGAUGGUUUUACAGUUUGCUUCUUGUCUGACUCAUUGUCAGAAUCAAAGGGAUUUGAUCCAGAAUUACUAUGGGCCACAGGAUCCGCAGAUUUUUUUCUAGCACUCCGAUGUAAAGGAGACUUCUUAAGACCAUGCAUUUUUUGAUAGAUAGAAAGUAAUCCCACGGGGAUGGACCUGGUAGAUUAAGAAAUUAUCUGAAAAUCCGAAGAAG
rnacentral:misc_RNA from 1 species